CGUGCUCGCAUUGUGGAUGGCUGUGAUACAAUACGCCAUUCUCCAGGGUUGCAUCAGCGCAUCAGGGAUUCCAUGCGACAGAGAGUGGAUGCAUGUAUCCUUGCUAAUGGAGGACAAUUUGAACAUUUCCUGUAACAAAGUGUUUGAAGUCACACUGGCUCAGAUAGAAGCUUUCGGACUCAGUGGCUCCUUCUUCAGGCAGAAGGGUUGAAGGGGAAGGAAGAAGGUUGAAGGAAAAGGACUGGAGAGGUCUAGGAAAAAGGAUAACUUUCUGACCGUGGCUCAGGAGAGACUUACUGUAUGGGAUAAGAAGGAAAGACUGGUUUUUGGAGACUGCAUUGGACUCAUUUAAGAGAUUAUGCUAGCAGGUGAAAGACUUGUGGACAGUUUAAUCAAGAAAGUAUUAGCUUCUCAGAAGCUGCCUGUUUCACCUGUUUAAUAGGAAUACAUUAAUUUACUGCUGUAUAAAACACUGUUAGAGCAGGAUUAAUUGUUGUACCAUGAACAAAGUUGGGAAAGAAUUUUUGUAUAGUUAUUGCUAACUAAGGAAUCUGUUUUGUUAAUAUGUUUUCCUUUCUUUUUGCAAAUAUUGACAUGUUUAAUCAUGUAGUGAGUAACGUACUUUUUUAACUUAAAACUUAUUUGAUUUAAUGAAAGUAAUUAUACUUGAUUUGAGAUAUACUGUUUUGCUGUCAGAAUACAAGCUUAUUUUGUUUUCUUGCACCUAAUAAUUUAUGCACUUAUUUUACUGUAAAUUCACAGUGCACACAUUAAAUAUGUGCACUGGCAGUCCUAGAAGGAAGGAAGGAAGGAAGCAAGCUGGGGUUUAACAUUCCACUGACAAUGAGGUCGUUAGAGACUGAGCACAAACACAGACUGGGAAAAUAUGAAGGAAAUUGGUCACACCCUUUCAAAGGAAUCAUCCCGGUACUGACCCUCAGCAAAUUAGUAAAAAUCAUGAAAAAUUUAAAUCUGGAAGGACAGGUGAUAAUUUGAACCCCUGUCCUUUUGAAUAUAGGUCCAGUGACUUACUCUCCAUUGCUGUAUUCCUCAUCAUUACAACUUUUAAUUUUUUAUAUGAAAAAUGAGGCCAUCUGAUGGGAAGAUUAGAAACAACACUCUGUUCCUUCAGAAUCAUUCAGUAUUUAUUUAUGUAAUAAAUAAGCUCUACAGUGGUAUGUACAUAUAAUUUACAUGUUUAGCACUACUGUCUAUCAGUGUUCAAAUGAAGUUUCUCUGUUAAGUGCUGGCGCUGUAUAAAUAAAUAUAUAUUUUCUGAUAACCUUUGUUUUUCAGAUAUCUGAAAAUCACAAAAUUUCAUCCACACAUUUGUUGAUCUUUUGAAACAAAUAAAUUGUUACAUCAAACAUUCUCUGGGCAAUAUUUUCCACAAUCUUUAGAACAUAAAUAGUGAUAAACUAAUUGUGCAAUAAUCACAAGGACUUUUCUUUGGUGGUAAUAGAUUCUAGAGUGUAGUAGUAACAAAAUUCACACUUGUCUUUUUCCCAAAACAGGAAGAAGUGGAUUUUCUUACACAUCGAAUAUUGUAUAGCACACUUUAUGCAGUAGCAACAUAUAAAAAUUUUAUAUAGAAUGGUCUUCACUAUAUCUUUAAUGAAUGGUAACAUCAAUUCUCAAACACUGUGUGCUUUCAAUCACUGGUGUUCACCCAGGCAUUGAUACAUAAAAUUCUUUUUCUAUUUAAAGUGCUUUGUUCACAAAUUUUCUGGAAUGAAAAAAGUACAUGAUAGUUUACUAUAAUGUUGUUUUACAUUGGUAUUGCACUGUAGGAGGCCUUAAAUAACAAAACAACAUGUACAAUGCAGUGUACAAAUCAUGAUGCAAAGAACAUAUGAGAAGAUUUUAAAUGUGAAAUUUAAAUCUAUCUGUACCACCUACUGCAGAUUCUUCAUAUGUCAGUACAACAGGUUUACCAUACCACAUAUUUUAAUGUCCCCACUGGGCAGUUAGUAUCAUCGAUUGGUUCACAAAGCUGAGUAUAUUAUAAGGACCUGAAAUGUUUUAAACAAUAAUUGUGUGAUUCUAAAAAUGUACAAUCAUCAAUACUGAGUUAGCAGAAUUGGUAGGUAACCAAAUUGUGAGGAGCUAAAUAGACUGAAGAGUGAAAGCACACAUUAUGACCACAUUCUGAAACGUUUCCCAGCUGUGAGAUACAAACAUAUCUUUACACAGUAUGAAAUUCGUGUAAAGUUUCCUGAAAAGUUAAUUAUUUUGUCCAGAAUUCUCUGCUUUAUGCAAGGAAAGUAUUUUCUGAUGGAAUAAAUGUGCCACUUCUUUGUGCUUGUAUCUACAAAAUAUACUUUACAUGUACAUGUAUGUAUGCAUUAUAGCUACAUUGUGAUUCAUUAUUUUCAUCUUUAAUUCCUCAUCACUGUUUCAAGGCCAAGUGCUGAAAUCAAAGCUGUCUUCUAUUCUCAUUUGAUUGCCUUAGCUAAUCUUACAAAUUUCCAGGUAAAUACUUAAGACUCCACUUUGUUGUUAGUUCAGGUACAUAUCUUUCUGGACUGAACAUGCCAGAAGGUAAAUAUUAGCUAUCUUUUGCAACUACAGAGAUCAUAAAAGUGCAGAAGAGGCAGCUGAAACCUUGGAAAAAUCCCAAGAGUUUAAUCCCAUACUGUAUUAACAUGUGAAGGAAGAUUUUAUAUUUUAUACUCAUAAGAUAAAAUUGUAGAUUAAAAUCCUGUUAUUAUUUACAACUGUUGCACAGCUUAUCAAUUUAACAGAAGAUGGAGGAGGAAGGUAAAGGAACAGGAAGGCUUUCCUGACUAUAAAUGAAAGUCUACUGAGUAUUCCAGGUUAACAUAUGAAGGACAUUAUCAUGUACAAUAUAUACAAUUACAACAUUUUGACUAAAAUACUUAAAUAUUUAUAGUCAUGUACAAUAGAUGAUGGUAUUCAGAAGUGUGGUGAAAAACUUGUUUGAAGUUAGUAAAUCAUCUGUAUGAGUUGAUUGCUAAAGUAAACCAAACAACUGCUUAGUCAUGAAUAUAUUAGCUACCUAUGUAUAAACUACUUUAUGUAUAUAAAGCUAUGUUCCCCAAUCAGCUGGUACCACCAAAGUGGUAAUAAGCAUGGUCCCUUCAUUUUAUAAUUAUAAUAUAGGUAACUACAUUUUAAUUUCAGAAAAAGAACUAAAUUUUAUGUGAUGAGAAAAUAGAUCACAAGCAGUAGUGCAAUCAAAAAUAUUACAUUUUUCAUAACAACAGACCAAAGCCAUGGUUCCUCUCUAGAAUGCUAAAAUAUUGUCAUGUCAAGAAUUUACGAACACUAUAUUAGCAUGUAAUUUUCUCAAGAAACUUAAGAUUAUGAAAUUAAUUUUUAAGCUUGAAGUUAUAUUAAAGAGAAAUAAAUUGAUUGCUGCUCUGUAAGUUUCUACACAGCAGGAAUUCAGUUGCACCCUGUAUUGGUUAAGCAGAUUGCUUAUACAAGUGAUAUUGAUAUCUACAGCAGUUUGAUUUAUAUAUUGUUGUAUUAACUGGGUAAUUACCUUCAGACAAACAUUAUCGUAGAUUAGAAGUCUUUGAAACUGUGGUAUACGACACAGAAACUAGAAGAUAAAAUGAGAGAUGUGAUUAAAGCUAUGGACAUCUUCAGAAUAGGCAGUCCAUUAUUUACUGUUUUAGUAGCAAGCUCUGCAUAGAAAGAUGUAGCAUGAUUUAUUGGAAUAGAUUUGCUCAGCUACUACCCUCUUCAUAGGCUGUCCACUGUAUUUACAAUUGCACAAGCCAAAACAUUAUUUUUACUUAAUGCUUUUUAUUAGAAGGAGGUAUUAGAGAGAUGGUGUUAACAGAGUGGUAUUAAUACACUGCAGUCUCAACUUUGUCAUGCCGCUGCAGCAUACAAAUAACAAAAAAAAAGUAACUGAAUUUUAUUGAGUGCUAAAAGAGGGGAGAGAGAGAGAGAGAGAGAGAGAGAGAGAGAGAGAGAGAGAGAGAGAGAGAGAGAGAGAGAGAGGGAGGGAGGGAGGGAGGGAGGGAGGGAGGGAGGGAGGGAGGGGGGGGGAGAGAGAGAGAGAGAGAGAGAGAGAGUGGGGGAGAGAGUAUGACUACACGUGGCUCUUUCAUUUUCCUGCACAGAACAGGCUAUCAUGGAAAAAAGAGGGGGAAGAACACUUUGUUGCUACAGAUGUGAGGUAAGGCAAGGGCAGACUUAAAGAAAUGAGUCAGUACACAAUUGUAUCCUCUGAAAAUGAAUACAUAUCAAUACUCUUCUGUCUCUUGUAUAAAGGCUUUUGUGUAUGCUUAUGUUUUAUGUGCUUGUACAACAUGUUCUGGUUUUUAUUAAAAUAUGUCCACAGUCAGCAUGGUAAAGAUCAGAAGGGCAACAGAAGUGAUGUCCAAGUCAACUAGUAAUCAAUAAUUUGUUAAUUUUGCACAGUAUAUACACACAGUGGAGGUAUGAAUUACUUGACUAAUGUAUAAAGUUCUUGAUGAACUUUAUUCUGCAAUUGCAUGCUGGUUUUUUGGGUUAAAUUUAAAAACUUAAUCUUCACCAAUGGUGAAAUAUUUUCUAUUUCAGUACAAAAUAAUAAAAACAGUUUUCUGUGUCAUUUCAUUGGUACAUUCAGGGCAUUUCGCUGUAUUUUCUUCUUAUAGGUGUAACACCUACUUCCACAGAGUUUCAUAUAAUGUUUGUAAAAACUCAGUUACUAAUAAAUAUAGAGGAAACUAUGAGAUUAGUAGAGAAAGGAAGUUAGUAGUAAAGAUGCAAUAAUCAUCAAAAUUCAUUCUGUGAUGAAAUUCAAAAUGGGUAAGGAAUAAUCCCAAGUUAGUAUUCAUAUGUAUUUAUUUUCUGUUAUCUGCUGUCAAGGUGAAAAACUUUGUUGUAUGUUUUUAGUAGUGUCAAGGAACAUAUGUGAUACAGCUAGAUUUCUGUCUUUAUGAUAGCAUUUUAUCAUAAAACAUUUUAUGUUAAAUGUAUGGUGAAAUUGUUAUAAAGCUUAUCUGCAAGGCAGCCAUCUGCUGCCAUGCUGAUGGAGCCACAUGUUUCAUAUGUUUCUAUAGUUCCUGACUUUCAUGCAUCAAAAUACACAUAACGUCACUGAUGUACAAAACAGAUUAUUGGGUAAAACUAAAACCACAGAGGAAUUUAGUAACAGAUCAUAUUUUCUGGUAUAUCAUUGACUUUAUUCAUAAGGAGUUUUCAAAAUCAUACCUCAUUUAAAUACUUUCCUUUUUUUGGGGGGGUUUAUGCCAUCUGUUCAUUGUUCAGGCAGUCAUCUUCAGAGAUGUUUUGUUCUGUAAUUCCCCUUGUGAUAUUCAUCUGUAAACUCAUUUUCAAAACUUGUGCACAUUCUAAACUCGAGAUCUAAAAUAUACCUUCCAUCUGGAAAGGGCAGUGGUUCUUCAAGUAAAAACUGUUUAGUGUCCUACCACACACAUUAAUUAUGGGCGCUACCAGAACUUAUAAGACAAUCAAGAAACUUCUUUUAGAAUGAAAACGUAGUGAAAUGGAAGUUAGCACUCUAAAACACAUUUAUAGUUAAUUUUGGACUUUGUCAGCCCCAUGGUGUAUAAUGAGAUAAAAUGAAGCUAGUGUAGAAAACUAUCAAUUUUUACCUUCAUUUUCUCUACUGUUAGUUUUCUGCAGUGUCAUUUUUCUUGUACUUAUGACAUCACAAAGUAUUCUUAUACCAAUGUUAUAUGGUUUUAUUAUUCAGUUGUCACUUGUUUUCUGGUUACCCAUCAUUGAUGCCUUAAUAGCUCCAAAACUGUUUUCCCCAGGUAUUCUUUCAAUUAAUGUAUUCUAUCAUUUUAUACAUCUUCCUCUGCUAUUGUCUGAAAAAUGUAACAGACUUAUAAGUUAUUUAUUUUUUUGAGUAUUUAGAGGUCCUUGGCUUCCAUAAAAUAUGAUGAGCCGUAACAUACCAUGUACACAACACCUGUAUCAGGAUAUUCUCCAAGGCUCUCAGUUUUAUCCUGAAUAAUGUCUUGUAAAGAGACUGGAGACAGUGGUACACAAAUAUGCAUCACAUAUGUAUAAGUUCCUGAAUUAAAAACAGUGAAUUGAUGUUAAAAAUGUAGGAAGGACUUCAGUAAGCACGAUGACACAUUUUUCUAGAUCAACAAUGACUAAUUUAAAUAAAGACCACUAAGCAAAAAAAAAAAUAUUGGAAUAACUUAUGGAAGACAUAGCAAGAGGAAAAUUAAUAAGUACAGAGCAUAGCAAAAACAGCUUUGAAAACGUUGAUGAAAUUAGUUUCUUCUAGAUUUAAGCAUUAACCCAUUAACUGCUCUAGAUGUGUUGAUGCGCGCGCCUUUGUACCUGUCCCUGUGUGCUCUGCUGAACAUGUUUACGCAUGACACCACUCCUUCUACCAGGUACUCUUGAUGUGUCUACCCAUAGAGAGAAGAACUGGUGGCACACACAAACACAUUCAGAGCACGCGCAUUAACACAUCCAGAGCAAUUAAAGGGUUAAGAUUCAGGUAUAUAACCAGGAACGUGUGGUGGAUAUACUUCUGAUAUGUGAGUCAUAUUAAGAAGUUAACGCUCUUUGAGAAAGUGUUAAUAGUACUUAUGGCAACAUAUAUGAAGUUUCAGAAAUUUACUACCAUCAUCUUGUGUGCACCAUUAUUUUUGGAUCUGCAAACACAACAAUCUAAAGCAAUAUCUUGCUGAAAUGCUGAACUAUGACUGCAAUUAUUGCAUUCAUUAAAUGUAGAUUUACGUUCUUUUAUUUCUAGAAGACACCGUGAGAGCACAGAUUUCCUUAAUCACAAACAUCUUCUCUGUAUAAUGGAAUGCAUCCUAUGAAAAAAGUAAGCACAUUUCAUACUGCUUACAAUAACCUUAGUUGUCAGUAAUUUAUGUACUGAUUAUGCAGCUGUUUAUGCAGACUCAGAGUGCAGCAUCGAAAAUGUUUUUUUUCUUUUCGUUAUAUGUAUUGUAUAAGGUCCACAUAAUAUUAAAGAAUAGCAAGGAAUAACAUCUAAUGGAGAAAGUAUAUGUUGAUGGAAAGAGAACUCAGUUUUUGUAACCAUAUAGAUAAUGUGUACCUAUCUUCACUGAUGUUAAAAGCAGAUACAUAAACCUUUGAACCUGAAAUUAUCACCAUAGGAAAUGUUUCAUGUUCAAAUUAUAAGUGGCCAAUCUUCCAUUACCCUGCGUACAGAAUACAUACUGAAGUUACAAUUUUACAAGCAAACAUAGCAAUUGUUCUUAUUAUAGUUUAGUUUCUGUAGCAUUAUAACUUAUGUAAACAUUGAUGUAUCUCAUCUUAUUUACUAUUUAAACCACAGCAAAAGCAUACAGGCACAUGACAGAUGUUAAGGAACUUUUAUAAAAUUCGUUUCCUAUUUGUGUUGUAGGUCUUAAUAAUAUGAGUAAUGAGGGUUAAAGAACAUAAAGAUAUACAUGUGGAAAAAGUAAGCAGUGACAAAAAAAAAAAAAAAAAAAAAAAAGAAAUGGAUUUUUUUUUUUUUGGGAUAAUACCAGCAGCAUCAUCUUUAAAAGUCAUAGCUACAAUAAGGCCUAUUUCAACUUUUUAGUGUUCAGUCUGUUAUACUACAAUUAUAUUCAAUAGCCUUUGCUUAUAGAUGUGAUGGUUUCUUAUGUGUUUUCCCACACAUUUGCAUACUGAAUAACUGGGUUGUGAAAUUCAGCUUACUAUUGAUGUAAGGUCUGACCUAUCAUAAAAAAAUGGUUUUUGUUAUGUGUGGAUUUUAAUACCUUGAUUCUGGAUUUAAUCAUAUUCCUAAGGAGAAAUAUUAUUUACAAUAGUUUGUAUGCAUAAAAAUAGCUACAUUUUUAUUAAUUUAUCAAUAAAUAACAUUGUUUUCACAUUUUUUAUUUUUGUACACAUAAUUCAUAUCUACAGUGUUAUGUACAAAUGUAUAAGCUAUCUCAAAAUGAAGUAAAUAAAUAUGAUACAUUUGAACUAUUAGAGCAGGUUAUUUUCCUCUUUCACACAUAAUAAUCAUAUGUAGCAAUUGAAGUGCCAAUAAGUAUGGUAUUUUUGAGCAGACGCAGGAUUGUUUCUUAAUGCACCAGUGACAUUAAUGCAUUAUCUCAUGGAAAGAAAGUAAAAAUUCCUAACAUUGUGAGGUUUCAUAAGUAACUGAACUUCCAUGUCAGUGCCCUAACUGCUUUAUUAAGUUCAACACUUCAUUUCUUUCUGUGGCAUUACACAUGUUGAUUCAUUUGUGUAAAAGUAGUCUACUAUGACCAUAAUGUGCAGUCCACAGCCUGAAAUUCCAUGUUUAAACUUAAGGAGCAGGUAAGGAUACUUAAGGAAUAUUCCUAAAAGGCCCUUAAAGUGUUAAUACAACUAUAUUUAAUGCAACUAUUUGUUUUUCAUUUUGUAUUGCACUAUUCACUUCGUGCUACUGUACAAAAAUUAGGUAUUCACACUUACAUUCCAGUUUUACACAUUUUUGUUUGACCAAUAUAUGGAAGCUGACUAAUUUCAGGCAGCACAAUGGGGAUAUAAUACAUAAUGUGGUGCAGUUUUUAUUGUGAAAAUGAUGUUUUCGGUAUAAGUUUGUGUGAAUAUAUGCAGCAAUGAAACUUCCUAGUAAUUGAAGCUGUGCAAUAGCUCUGAAAUAUCUGUGGUAUAUUGAGUGAUAUAAUACUCCUAUCUCUGCAAAGAAAAGAAUGAAAGUGAGGUAUUCCUUGGUAUUUCUUUUAUACAUCUGUUUGGUCUGGAGAGAAUAGGAAUUUUAUUGCACUUCUGUUCAAAGAAAGUUGCUGUUACUUUAGUACAGAGUUCUAUCUUUUGUCUUGGCAGCAGGACACUUUUGGUUCUCCAUUCUCAAAAUAUUUCCACAUUUACAAACAUUUUCAGCUCAUGUUGCAUUUCUAUACUCUACAUUAUAUUAUGUUUCCCAACAAACUUCUGUUUGCUUUGAUGAGUGAAUAACAUUUUGUUUAAUUAUGCUCCCUUUUGUUUUUGAGCAGUAAUUUAAAGUUUUCUGUCUGUAGCACAAUGUCAGCCUUACUUGGUGAAUGCUCCUAUGCCAGUUGCACAGUACGUCAAUCAUUAUUUUAUGUUCACAACACCCUCAGAUUUGAAAAAAAUUGACAAAAAAUAAAAAAUAAAACUUGAAAUUGAUACUUCAUUACAGAUGUACUAGUGAUGUAAAAAAAGUGAAAUUGCAACAAUAUUAAGAAACUGUUGCUGUACUCUGAUGGUAACAUGCAAAUUCAAAAUUACAUUCACAACAGUGCUAUAAAUACAAAAUGGAUGUUAUCAUUUUUCUAUUUCUUUACAAGCUAUUUAAGUACUAUAAAAUUAGCUGCAGUGAUAACACAGCACACUACCCAGGAUAUAGAUUUGAAAUAAGUGAUUUUAUGUAUUUUGCUCUUUCUCCCUCAUGGUUUGACCUACAGUUCCCUUGGAGCCAAAUGAAUAUGUCCUCAAGAACCUCUGUUUUCCUUAAAAUUAAAUCUGAAUGCAAAAAUGUGCCUGUACCAUAAACAGAUGCCUUCUCAUUUGUAACUUUGCAAAAUAUAUAACCCAGUCAGUUUCAAGAUAAAAGCCAUGUUUCACAGAAUCAUUAUUACAAUCAUUAUUUAUUUACAACAUGGAAGGCACAUUUUAUGUUUAGAAUUCUGUAUCUUUAGACCUGAAGAAUCAACUCUGUGCCUGGUACAUUCCAAUGACCAAAAAUGCAUAUUAUUUUCAAUGUUAGAUUAAGAUUGUUAUGUAUGUGCAUCUGCAGAAAAUGUUCCAGUGCAAGAAAUUGUAGCAAAAUGAACACUGAGAACACACUAUUCACCUUCAUAAAUAAUUUUAGGGACAUUAGAAUACUCACUUCGGUGACAGUCAUGGGGUCACUGAAGACAAUUUGAGUGCCACUAAGAAUUGAUGAUCCAUUGGGUCUUUAUAUUUGAACAACUGAAUUAAAGAAGUAGUAUUUCAAACUGUGUAGAAAGAGUAAAUACUUUCAGUGACAUAUUGAUCAAUGAUGCUGAUGGACUGUAAUCACAAUAAAGUAGGACACCAGGAGAUACAUAUCACAUAUCUCUUGACGACCUACAUCCAGUUGUUUUUAGAAUCAAGAAGAAAUAUUUUUACAUCCAGUGUAGAAUAUAUAUAGAGCAUAAUACCUUUUUUAAAUAAUAUGAAGGUUUACUAAAAUAUCUGUAAAUUACAAGAAGUACAGUCAAUGUACUGAGUUCAUACUAUGACUUUCUACAUUGUAAUUUGAAUUCAGUGAAAGAGAACCAUAUUUAUGUUAAGAAAUAUUCAUGAUCAGCGGAGAGAAGGGAACUGCAGAUACUAGAAAUUGAUGAAUGAAAUGCAAAUACACCACAGGAAAUGUUAAGGCAAUUAAUUAAAAUGAGGUGUUAAAUGGUUGCAAGAAUUUCUUUCUUUCCUUUAUGUUUCUUUAAGAGAAAGUAAAGCCAAAUAUAGAUGUGUUAGAGAGAAGCAUAACCUAUUGUCAACAUAAUUUAUUCUUACUGCAAAGAAAGGCUAGCAACAUAUGUAAUAGGCAUACGAUAACACUAAUAGAUAUCGUCAUGGG